rnacentral:rRNA from 1 species
UACGUAGGGUGCAAGCGUUUAAUCGGAAUCACUGGGCGUAAAGGGUGCGUAGGCGGGUCUUUUAAGUCAGGGGUGAAAUCCUGGAGCUCAACUCCAGAACUGCCUUUGAUACUGAGGAUCUUGAGUUCGGGAGAGGUGAGUGGAACUGCGAGUGUAGAGGUGAAAUUCGUAGAUAUUCGCAAGAACACCAGUGGCGAAGGCGGCUCACUGGCCCGAUACUGACGCUGAGGUGCGAAAGCGUGGGGAGCAAACAGG